ACUUUGUGUUUGACAUCCCUUUUUUCCCCGGGGGUCUUAAUUACCACUGCUUAGCUUUCAAUUCGCCUCUGACCAUCAAAUUAAAUGUGAAUAACCUGUCC